AGAACGAACGCUGGCGGCAUGCCUAAUACAUGCAAGUCGAACGAACACUUCGGUGUUAGUGGCGCACGGGUGCGUAACGCGUGGGAAUCUGCCCUUGGGUUCGGAAUAACAGUUGGAAACGACUGCUAAUACCGGAUGAUAUCGAAAGAUCAAGGAUUUAUCGCCCAGGGAUGAGCCCGCGUAGGAUUAGCUAGUUGGUGAGGUAAAGGCUCACCAAGGCGACGAUCCUUAGCUGGUCUGAGAGGAUGAUCAGCCACACGUGGGACUGACGACACAGCCCAGACUCCGUACGGGAGCAGCAGGUAGGAUAUGGACAAGUGGGCACAAGCCUAGACUCCGAGCAAGUCGCCGUCGUGAGUGAGUAGGAACGGUCCGUUUAAGGGUUAGUAAACGUCC
rnacentral:rRNA from 1 species